rnacentral:rRNA from 1 species
AACGAACGCUGGCGGCAGGCUUAACACAUGCAAGUCGAGCGCCCCGCAAGGGGAGCGGCAGACGGGUGAGUAACGCGUGGGAAUCUACCGUACCCUACGGAAUAGCUCCGGGAAACUGGAAUUAAUACCGUAUACGCCCUUCGGGGGAAGAUUUAUCGGGUAUGAUGAGCCCGCGUUGGAUUAGCUAGUUGGUGGGGUAA